AAAAAAUAAAAUAAUCCUCCCUCAUCAUAAACGGCACUGACCGCCACUGCAUCAUAGAGUAUGAAGUAGGCAAGCUAAACAUUUGUGUUUCACCAUGACAGGCGUGGUAAAGACAUGAAUCAUAAGACGCCAAGACAAAAGGCAACAUUAUCUAAAGGCCAUCGGAGGAGUACAGGGGAGGUAAGGGAGUCACGUCUGCCCGUGGAUAAAUAAGCAGCAGAUAAAAGAUUAGAAGCGGAUCGAGAUCUAGACUCUCCUCCCCAUGCAGCUGGUUGAGCCUGCUUCUGCGUAUGACUGGGAGGCUAAGUGGCACCCCUCACCCUCCAUCCUCCAUUCAAAUGUCAGCAGCAAUUUGAUGAAACAGGCUGAGAGAAAGGGCAUGCAUGCAAGGAUUUAUCCUCCUCUCCUGUCCCCCUCCCCCUCUCUCUUUCUGGUUGGUUGUGAUAAAGACGGCGUCAUUUAACUAUCUUCGUCCAAGCUCUUCAGCUUCUUCCUUUCGGCUCACUGCUGCACGUUUAAAAAGCGAAUUUCUGAACUGGAAUUGACAGAAGACCCCAUGGUGGUGGCCGUGACUGUGUGCUGACCGAUCAGCAGGAGUGGGCAGUGGUGGAAAUGGUAAGGGCCAGGAAUGACAUACGGCUGUCUGAAAUAAAGCAGGUCAUUGAAGAGAAAGAUGACACCUUUGCCAAUGUGGCAUCCAUCAACCUACCAACAGUCACACGCCUUUUGAAGAGGAACCAGGUAUCUAUGAAACACAUUUACCUGAUGCCCUUUGAGAGAAACAACGACCGGGUGAAACAACUGCAGGCCGAGUAUUUUCAGAGGGUGAUGGUGCUUGAUACUGCUGUGAACCAUAACAAGCAUAUCUUUGUUGACGAAGUGGGCCAAAACUCAGCGUCAUGGGCGUACGGGCGACCGUCCAAGUGCAAGGACAACUUGGGGGAAAUCUCCAUGUGCGCAGCUAUCUCUGAAGAUGGUGUGGUAGGACAUAGGCCAUUACUUGGAUCCUAAAACGCUGCACACCUCAUUGUGAUACUCAAUAAAAUUGAUCAGGCCUGUCAAGGUGAAGGGGAUGAGAAUUUAUGGCCAAAUGAUUAAGACAGGCUUGAUGCAAAUGAAUGCGUGCUGAACAUUGUUUUAUUUUCAUUCAUUUUAAUUUUUUUUCAUUUGAUUACAGACAGUAUACCUAUGUUGCAAUUAUAUCCGAAAAAUAAAAAUUACAUUUU